GUCGCUUCUUGGCCUUUUGGCUGAGAUCAAGGGGAGUACGGGUUCCUAUCAGGUUAAUAUCGGAUGUAUCCUCUAUCCAAGGAUAAGAUAUUAAAUGGAUUUUUGGAGCAGGGAGAUGGAAUAGGAGCUUGCUGGGUCCACUCCACACAGUGACCUGGUUUAAAGGAAAAAAGAAAAAAAAGGAAAAUCAGCUACCCUGUCCUAGCA
ensembl:snRNA U2 U2 spliceosomal RNA